rnacentral:rRNA from 1 species
GACGAACGCUGGCGGCGUGCCUAAUACAUGCAAGUCGAACGCUUCUUUCCUCCCGAGUGCUUGCACUCAAUUGGAAAGAGGAGUGGCGGACGGGUGAGUAACACGUGGGUAACCUACCCAUCAGAGGGGGAUAACACUUGGAAACAGGUGCUAAUACCGCAUAACAGUUUAUGCCGCAUGGCAUAAGAGUGAAAGGCGCUUUCGGGUGUCGCUGAUGGAUGGACCCGCGGUGCAUUAGCUAGUUGGUGAGGUAACGGCUCACCAAGGCCACGAUGCAUAGCCGACCUGAGAGGGUGAUCGGCCACACUGGGACUGAGACACGGCCCAGACUCCUACGGGAGGCAGCAGUAGGGAAUCUUCGGCAAUGGACGAAAGUCUGACCGAGCAACGCCGCGUGAGUGAAGAAGGUUUUCGGAUCGUAAAACUCUGUUGUUAGAGAAGAACAAGGACGUUAGUAACUGAACGUCCCCUGACGGUAUCUAACCAGAAAGCCACGGCUAACUACGUGCCAGCAGCCGCGGUAAUACGUAGGUGGCAAGCGUUGUCCGGAUUUAUUGGGCGUAAAGCGAGCGCAGGCGGUUUCUUAAGUCUGAUGUGAAAGCCCCCGGCUCAACCGGGGAGGGUCAUUGGAAACUGGGAGACUUGAGUGCAGAAGAGGAGAGUGGAAUUCCAUGUGUAGCGGUGAAAUGCGUAGAUAUAUGGAGGAACACCAGUGGCGAAGGCGGCUCUCUGGUCUGUAACUGACGCUGAGGCUCGAAAGCGUGGGGAGCAAACAGGAUUAGAUACCCUGGUAGUCCACGCCGUAAACGAUGAGUGCUAAGUGUUGGAGGGUUUCCGCCCUUCAGUGCUGCAGCAAACGCAUUAAGCACUCCGCCUGGGGAGUACGACCGCAAGGUUGAAACUCAAAGGAAUUGACGGGGGCCCGCACAAGCGGUGGAGCAUGUGGUUUAAUUGGAAGCAACGCGAAGAACCUUACCAGGUCUUGACAUCCUUUGGCCACUCUAGAGAUAGAGCUUUCCCUUCGGGGACAAAGUGACAGGUGGUGCAUGGUUGUCGUCAGCUCGUGUCGUGAGAUGUUGGGUUAAGUCCCGCAACGAGCGCAACCCUUAUUGUUAGUUGCCAUCAUUUAGUUGGGCACUCUAGCGAGACUGCCGGUGACAAACCGGAGGAAGGUGGGGAUGACGUCAAAUCAUCAUGCCCCUUAUGACCUGGGCUACACACGUGCUACAAUGGGAAAUACAACGAGUCGCUAGACCGCGAGGUCAUGCAAAUCUCUUAAAGCUUCUCUCAGUUCGGAUUGCAGGCUGCAACUCGCCUGCAUGAAGCCGGAAUCGCUAGUAAUCGCGGAUCAGCACGCCGCGGUGAAUACGUUCCCGGGCCU